rnacentral:rRNA from 1 species
UACGUAGGGCGCAAGCGUUGUCCGGAAUUAUUGGGCGUAAAGAGCUCGUAGGCGGUUUGUCGCGUCUGCUGUGAAAACCUAAGGCUCAACCUUGGGCUUGCAGUGGGUACGGGCAGACUAGAGUGCGGUAGGGGUGACUGGAAUUCCUGGUGUAGCGGUGGAAUGCGCAGAUAUCAGGAGGAACACCGAUGGCGAAGGCAGGUCACUGGGCCGCAACUGACGCUGAGGAGCGAAAAGCAUGGGGAGCGAACAGG